AUGUGCAUUCCUACAACAUAGCAUUAAUGCACCCGAUCCCAUUAGAACUCUGCAGUUAAGCACACUCAGGCUAGAGUAAUACUGGGAUGGGUAACCACCUGGGAAAUCCUAUUAUUUUACAUG
rnacentral:rRNA from 1 species